CACAGGUAUACACACCUCAAUACACACAGGUAUACACACACAGGUAUACACACAGGUAUACACACCUCAAUACACACAGGUACAGACACCUGCACUCAAUUCAACUACCGGUAGUGAACACGUGAUCAGAAAUAGUGAAGUCAUGACAGUGUUUUCCUUGCUAUUGUAUCAUACCCCACCUCCCUGUGCAGAUAGGCAAAUGUCUUUAUUCUGUACAUAUCAUAGUCACAACUUCCUUCACAACACUGCCCUUAAAUGAUUGCAUUUCGAAAAGAGAUCUACAUGACCAGAGGUUGUUCUACAUGACCAGAGGUUGUUCUACAUGACCAGAGGUUGUUCUACAUGACCAGAGGUUGUUCUACAUGACCAGAGGUUGUUCUACAUGACCAGAGGUAGUUCUACAUGACCAGAGGUUAUUCUACAUGACCAGAGGUUGUUCUACAUGACCAGAGGUUGUUCUACAUGACCAGAGGUUGUUCUACAUGACCAGAGGUUGUUCUACAUGACCAGAGGUUGUUCUACAUGACCAGAGGUUGUUCUACAUGACCAGAGGUUGUUCUACAUGACCAGAGGUUGUUCUACAUGACCAGAGGUUGUUCUAUAUGACCAGAGGUUGUUCUAUUCUGUUCUAUAUAAAGGUGUGUGUUUGAGAUGGAACAAAUCAACCCUCUUGAACUGAAAUAGGAUGGGGCGGGUAAAAUACAACACACC